GGGGGGGGGGGGGGGGGGGGGGGGGGGGGGGGGGUGGGGGGGGGGGGGGCGGGGGGGGUGGGGGGCUCGGGUGGCGGACGGGGGGGGAAGACGUGAGGCACCUGCCCGUGCCUGUGGGAUCACAUCAGGAGACGGGGGCUCGUACCGGAUCGGGGCUGCUGCUUCAUUGGGGUGGUUGGAACGGUUCGGCGGUGGGGGACGGACUCGCGGCUUAUCAGCAUGUUGGUGGGGUAGUGGCUUACCAAGGCUUGGACGGGUAGCCGGCCUGAGAGGGUGACCGGCAACAUUGGGAAUGAGAUACGGCCCAGACUCAUACGGGAGGCAGCAGUGGGGAAUAUUGCACAAUGGGCGGAAGCAUGAUGCAGCAACGCCGCGUGCGGGAUGACGGCCUUCGGGUUGUAAACCGCUUUCGCCUGUGACGAAGCGUGAGUGACGGGAAUGGGUAAAGAAGCACCGGCUAACUACGU
rnacentral:rRNA from 1 species